rnacentral:rRNA from 1 species
UACGGGGGGGGCAAGCGUUGUUCGGAAUUACUGGGCGUAAAGGGCGCGUAGGCGGCCUGCUAAGUCGGACGUGAAAUCCCUCGGCUCAACCGGGGAACUGCGUCCGAUACUGGCGAGGCUUGAAUCCGGGAGAGGGAUGUGGAAUUCCAGGUGUAGCGGUGAAAUGCGUAGACAUCUGGAGGAACACCAGUGGCGAAGGCGGCAUCCUGGACCGGUAUUGACGCUGAGGCGCGAAAGCUAGGGUAGCAAACGGG